rnacentral:rRNA from 1 species
CAGUCGCCGCGGGAAUACGUAGGGUGCGAGCGUUAAUCGGAAUUACUGGGCGUAAAGGGUGCGUAGGCGGGUCUUUAAGUCAGGGGUGAAAUCCUGGAGCUCAACUCCAGAACUGCCUUUGAUACUGAAGAUCUUGAGUUCGGGAGAGGUGAGUGGAACUGCGAGUGUAGAGGUGAAAUUCAUAGAUAUUCGCAAGAACACCAGUGGCGAAGGCGGCUCACUGGCCCGAUACUGACGCUGAGGCACGAAAGCGUGGGGAGCAAACAGGAUUAGAUACCCGAGUAGUCCCUGUCUCUUAUAC